rnacentral:lncRNA from 1 species
CUGGUCCCAUUCAUAGUCCCAUAUCUACUGUUAAGCUAAUACCAGAUGCUUUGAGCAGUGUCAGAAUACUGAACACUCUUGGCUAUCUCCGGCGCAAGGGAAUUAGUAAGCCAAGAGAUAACCAUGUUGUUGCACAUAUCCUAUUGUCUAAACUGAGGAGAGUUUUCUGGAGGUUUGGGAAUGGUUCCGUCAAUGAAUUCUAUCUUAUUUCUAGCGGAUAGGGAGACGAUUAUAUUACGUCUCCAUCCCCCAAAACCAAUCCCUGAAAAAUGAUUGCUUACCAAAGAUAUUCCCGGGACAUCAGAAGACAAGAGAAACAAAGGAUUCGAGGGGUCAAUGACAACAUUAUCAGUCCUAGACUCAGAGGUAUCACCAAUAUUAACCAUUUUUGACGGAUAGAUUUGUAACUUGUAAGAUGGAAACCCUAACUGUUCCUAGAUACACAAGAACUUCAGGAAACAAAUUAAUCCUAUGUUUGAACCGAUGAGGAGAAGUGUGAGACUCAAAAAAACUCAGAAAAAUCAACGAUUACUGAAUAAUAACCAGAGAAAACAGAGAGAAAGAGAAAAAAACAUAGAUUUGCCAGAGAAGAUAGAAACUUUGACGAAACCCAGUGAGGGUAACAUCGCGACGUAGCCCGUGAAGAUCGGAAUCGGAAUCCCCGCUCUGAUACCAUGUCAAAAUUAUUGAACUCCAUUGAUGAACAGAUUAGUUUUCAGAUGAAAGAGAGAGAGAGAGAGAGAAGAAGCGAUGAGUUUUCAUUUUCUGUUCUUC